rnacentral:rRNA from 1 species
GAUGAACGCUAGCGGCAGGCCUAAUACAUGCAAGUCGAACGGUGUCUUCGGACAUAGUGGCGCACGGGUGCGUAACACGUAUGCAACCUACCUUACAUUGGGGGAUAGCCUUUCGAAAGGGAGAUUAAUACCGCAUAAGACAGUAGCUGGGCAUCCAGCAGCUGUUAAAGAUUUAUCGAUGUAAGCUGGGCAUGCGUCCAAUUAGCUAGUUGGUGAGGUAGCGGCUCACCAAGGCAAUGAUUGGUAGGGGAACUGAGAGGUCAAUCCCCCACACUGGCACUGAGAUACGGGCCAGACUCCUACGGGAGGCAGCAGUAGGGAGUAUUGGGCAAUGGACGCAAGUCUGACCCAGCCAUGCCGCGUGCAGGAUGAAGGCGUUAUGCGUUGUAAACUGCUUUUAUACAGGAAGAAACGACUCUUGCGAGAGGCAUUGACGGUGCUGUAUGAAUAAGCACCGGCUAACUCCGUGCCAGCCGCCGCAGUAAUAC